rnacentral:rRNA from 1 species
GAGACACGGUCCAAACUCCUACGGGAGGCAGCAGUGAGGAAUAUUGGUCAAUGGGCGAGAGCCUGAACCAGCCAGUAGCGUGAAGGAUGACUGCCCUAUGGGUUGUAAACUUCUUUUAUAAAGGAAUAAAGUCGGGUAUGGAUACCCGUUUGCAUGUACUUUAUGAAUAAGGAUCGGCUAACUCCGUGCCAGCAGCCGCGGUAAUACGGAGGAUCCGAGCGUUAUCCGGAUUUAUUGGGUUUAAAGGGAGCGUAGAUGGAUGUUUAAGUCAGUUGUGAAAGUUUGCGGCUCAACCGUAAAAUUGCAGUUGAUACUGGAUAUCUUGAGUGCAGUUGAGGCAGGCGGAAUUCGUGGUGUAGCGGUGAAAUGCUUAGAUAUCACGAAGAACUCCGAUUGCGAAGGCAGCCUGCUAAGCUGCAACUGACAUUGAGGCUCGAAAGUGUGGGUAUCAAACAGGAUUAGAUACCCUGGUAGUCCACACGGUAAACGAUGAAUACUCGCUGUUUGCGAUAUACUGCAAGCGGCCAAGCGAAAGCGUUAAGUAUUCCACCUGGGGAGUA